CUUCCAGACCUUCAAUUUUAGGUCUAAAACCCCCUCCCUCCUCUAGAACCUUCAGACUUGAGAAAAGAAGGAGAAAGAUGUCUCACCGAGGAGGAACAAGGGGAUCGAGUACAGUGAAACAAUCAAUUGGAGUACAGUGAAACAUUCAAUUGGACAGAAGAAAUUGACAAACGUUGCUGUUGUUCGUCUUAAGAAACAUGGGAUGAGAUUCGAGGUUGCUUGUUAUCAGAACAAAGUCCUUUCAUGGCGUUCUGGAGUAGAGAAAGAUGUUGAUGAAGUAUUGCAGUCACAUACUGUGUACUCUAAUUUUUCAAAAGGAGUACUAGCUAAGUCUAAAGAUAUGAUUGCGGCCUUUGGAACAAAUGACUUAUCAGCGAUUUGCACGGAGGUUAGUUGAAUGAUCUACAACCACAUUCUUUUACAGUGUCCAGUAAAUAAUGAGCUUCAAGUUGCUGGGAAGGAAAGAGACUCUCAGUUUCAACUCAGAAAAGGGAUAUUGCAACCAUAGUCAUACAAAAAACGAUUAAUCCAGAGACUCAACGUCCGUAUUCUGGCAGUAUGAUUGAGAGUCUUAUGGCGGAAAUUCACUUUGCUGUUGAUCCCCAUAACAGCUCAAAGAAACAGAAGUUAUCCGUGAGCUUCAGCAGCACUAUCCCAUCAAAAGAGCUUCAAUGAGAUUAAGGCUCAUCGUACCUGAAGAGAGUUCUCCUUCUUUGAUGUAAAAGCUCAAUGCUGGAAUGUAGAAAUUGUUUCGAAAGAGUCAUUGGUCUGUGAGAUUGACCCUAGUAUUUUCCGGGACUGUGAUGCUUUGGUUAGGAAUCUACAUGGCAGGUCAGAAAUACUUGCUGUAUCAGUGCACUUCGAGAGGAUACCAAUGUUGACCACUUUGAUGAUCAUGAGGACUUCAAUGAACCAAGUCAUCACCCUACAGUGUCGCUGAACACUACGGAGUUAGAUGAGAUCAAAUUAAGUGAGGGAUUGCACAGUUCAUGAUGGUACUGAUAAGAUAGUUUCCACAGUUAAUGAUGGUGCUGAAAAGAGAAGUGCUGAAGUUGAAGUAGUAGAGGUGAAGCAGAGCAAAUGUAGUACGCGCAAUGCGUUAGUUGGGGAUGUCAAGCAACGCCGUGAACACUUCAAGAGCAAAUGGCACAAGCAAAUCUGAGGCGAAGACUAGGCAACUCCCUCCACUCACCGCUGAUGAAUGCUUGGCAAGUAUAGAUAUGGGUGAUGCAAAGUCAGAUUUGAAAGAAUAUUCAUUUUAAGCUUCCGCCUGUCCUUGGCUGUAAUCUGUACAUUGUAGUAGUUUACUGAUUCUGUAUGGUACUAUAUUUGCCGAGAAGUUCACCGUGUUCGUCAAGUUUUAGGUUUUAGGUGUUGAUAACUUCAUGCUAUAUGUUUCGUAACUAGGAUUAAAUUGUUGAGAGGAAGAAUGCUGAGUGAGGUCUUUUAACUGGGACUUCUGCUAAACCAAACAUAUUUUCUGUCAAAAACUAGGACUGUUUAUUAUUGCUCA